rnacentral:tRNA from 1 species
CACCGACGAGCUGCCGGCCGAGCUGGUCCGCUGGGAGCGGACCGGUGGGUCGUACACGUCCUGGUCGGGCACCGGUGGC